GAAAGCACACAAGCCGUGAUGAGUUCCAGCCAUCUCCUGUGAUUACCUCUAGUUAGCAUUCUUUGUUUUAGCCAAGGCCCGUGUGCGUCCUUCAGAAAUAACCACACAAACUCUUAGUUAACACAAUUGUUAAGCCAUACACUGUGCUGUGCUGUUACUGCUCUGUGAAUCAGCCAUUAAACAACCUCAACUGGAAUCAUACCAGUCUGUCAUCUGUGCUCUUACAAGCACCUGGGAGAGAACACAAUGCUAGGUAAAACCUAACCCUAAAUAAUAUACAGUCCACCAAGUCCUCAACUACCUCCAGGACCUAGGGGUUCUGCCUAACACCCAGACAUGGAUCCACCUGAUGUCCUCCAUUACCAACCACCCCCCAACUUUUCAUUACAUCAGCUACUGUUAUUGUCAAGUUGUCAUUAUCUGCUAAGAAAGAGCAAGAAAACUAUCAUACAGGGCACAUAAUGUGAGAUGCACAGAUUAGAUAAAAACAGUAGCACUGCAAACACUCAGAACAAAGACGGCAGCAGCACCUGGAC